AUGGGAACGCGAAGAACCUUACCUAGACUUGACAUCUUCUGCAUUAAUCGUAAUGGAUGAAAUCCCUUCGGGGACAGAAUGACAGGUGGUGCAUGGUUGUCGUCAGCUCGUGUCGUGAGAUGUUGGGUUAAGUCCCGCAACGAGCGCAACCCCUAUUAUUAGUUGCUAACAUUAAGUUGAGCACUCUAGUGAGACUGCCCGGGUUAACCGGGAGGAAGGUGGGGAUGACGUCAAAUCAUCAUGCCCCUUAUGUCUAGGGCAACACACGUGCUACAAUGGUGAGUACAGAUAGAUGCGAUACCGCAAGGUGGAGCCAAACUCUAAAACUCAUCCCAGUUCGGAUUGUAGGCUGCAACUCGCCUACAUGAAGCUGGAGUUGCUAGUAAUCGCGAAUCAGAAUGUCGCGGUGAAUACGUUCCCGGGUCUUGUACACACCG
rnacentral:rRNA from 1 species